rnacentral:rRNA from 1 species
CAUUCUUCGGGAUGGCUAGAGUGGCGAACGGGUGAGUAACACGUAGGUGAUCUGCCCUUGAGUUGGGGAUAGCCCAUGGAAACAUGGGGUAAUACCGAAUACGCUCAGGACCCUGUGGGGAUCUGAGGAAAAGCGCUUCGGCGCUGCUCGAGGAUGAGCCUGCGGCUGAUUAGUUAGUUGGUGGGGUAACGGCCUACCAAGGCGACGAUCAGUAGCCGGCCUGAGAGGGUGAGCGGCCACACUGGGACUGAGAUACGGCCCAGACUCCUACGGGAGGCAGCAGCUAAGAAUCUUCUACAAUGGACGAAAGUCUGAUAGAGCGACGCCGCGUGGGUGAUGAAGGCCGGAAGGUUGUAAAGCCCUUUUCUAUUCGAGGAAUAACCAUAGGAGGCAAUGCCUGUGGGAUGACGGUAGGGUAGGAAUAAGCCCCGGCCAAUUACGUGCCAGCAGCCGCGGUAACACGUAUGGGGCGAGCGUUGUCGGAAUCAUUGGGCGUAAGGGCGCGUAGGCGGAUAUGCAAGCUUUGGUGUGAAAGACCGCAGCUCAACUGCGGGAGCGCGCUGAGAACUGCAUAUCUUGAGUUCAAGAGGGGAAGCUGGAAUUCCAGGUGUAGGGGUGAAAUCUGUAGAUAUCUGGAAGAACAUCAGUGGCGAAGGCGAGCUUCUGGCUUUGAACUGACGCUGAGGCGCGAAAGCGUGG